UUUUGAGAAUUACCAAAAUGUGACUGACAUAGAGACACAAAGUGAGUAUAUACUAUUGCAAAAAUGGCACUGAUAAACUUGCUUAAUGCAAGGUUGCCAUAAACCUUCAAUUUAUUAAAAAUUCUAUCUGCCAAG